GGGGAGGUGCGGGUGGGGUUGGCUUCGUUUCGAGACCAGGUGCGAUACGUGGCUCGACCUGCGCUAUGCGGUGCUGGCGUUGUCUGAAGCGCCUCACUUCGGCAGAGUUUGCUCCCCCGGCUCGCAAAACCGUAUCUGCGGUGGGAGGCAGCGAUCCCUGGAUAUGCGUCGCCUCCUCAUUGAAGACGUAUCAACGCUUCCGCGCCGCAACCAUCAGAUUGUGCCACGUGCUGUCCGGCAAAAUGUCCUUCCUGAAGAAGCUCCCAGCACGUGGGCGAAAACGUCGGACAUCAUUCCGAACAACGCGCGGGGUACAAGCUGAACACACAUUGGAGGCUUACGCAGCACAGCCUAAAUGAAUAUGUUUACGCAGCAGCAUUCUUUAAACGUGCUGUAACGGGCAAGGCGGUUCGGAAAUUAUCGCCUUUCCUUGCGCAAGUGCGUGCUACGGAUAGCAAUGAAGAAAAGGGAGGUAAAUUGAUCAUUACAAUUACGUGUUCUCAUUUCCUUAAAUAUGUUCCAGUUGAGGUUGGAGUCUGAACCAGUGGACGGUUUCAGGAAUAGUCUGGCGAAGAUCUGAAAUGCUUCCUGUGAAUGAUGCAAGCUGGCGGUGCCACGUUGCAAUGUGCCCAAAAUGAACAACAAGAUUAAACUAAUUUGUUUAAUAACGUUGCCUUGAAAGGAAAUUAUAUAGUGGGUAACAUUUGUGGGCCAAGGGUUAUUGACGAAUGCGGAUUUAUUGUAUACACCUUAAUAUGGUACUGCCAGCUUGCAUGGUCCUCUGGGCCAUUGGCCGAAAUAUCACCUGUUAUACAUUUGUUUUCCUUUAAGGCCACAGUGUCAUUGACGAAUGUGUUGAGUUGUAUCGUUAUUUGUGCUUUGUGCACCACUGCCGACAGUGUGACCAAAUAAUUUGUUUCGUUUUUUUUUUAUAGAGGUAAAAAUUAUCUCCCAUAGUUCCCUUAAAGAAGGAAGCUACCUACCUGCCUACCCACCUAAUUAUCUACCUUACCUACUCACCUACCUACUGAAAUACCUGCCUGCCAGCCUAACUGCAUGGCUACCUGGCUACCUAUCUAACUACAUUCUUAGCAAUCUGCCUACCGACAGCUUUUAUGCCUAUCUGCCUGCCUACCAACGUACAUACCCACCGAAUUACAUAUCUACCUGCCUCCCUAAGCACCUACCUGCCUGACUAUCUGCAUGCCUAUCUGCCUAACUGCAUUGUCUAUCUUCCUAUGUGAUCAAUAUUUAUAUUUCUUCAACAUACAUACACACUCACCCACUCACCCAUACACACACUCACCCACUCACCCAUACAC